UGCAAUGUAGUUUAGUUAAAAUACUUAUUUUACACGUAAGAGUAUCCUUUGAGGACUUUGUGA
rnacentral:tRNA from 1 species